rnacentral:tRNA from 1 species
AGGGGUGUAACUCAGCGGUUAGAGGAAUUUGUGCCGUGGGUUCGAAUCCCACCAUCCCUA